GUAGGAGAUGCUUGAGAUGUUGGUUUUAAUAACUUAGAAAACAUUUGUUACAGCAGCACUACAGUAACAGUACAACAGAGAUAAAUGGAAGGAGCCGCAUUCACAUCCAGCGGCGCCGAUUUCAAACGAACCGGAGCGCAGAGGCCUGACCGGAAUGACGCUGGACUGGUGAAAACAAAAAGCCUCACAUCGUGAUCUCACGUCAAACAAACAGACUUUUACUGACACCGACUUCUUAAAACACCGAGUCAGAUCCCAGAAAACAUGCUUCCAGGUUCCACAUCGAUGCAAAUCAUCAAAUUUUCUGCAUCAAGGAAAUUGUUUAAACUUUUCCGGCGAGAAGAAAACAUGAUUAUGAGCUGUUGAAUCCCAGUCAGAAGGGUGUGUGUUGUAAUCCCACAACAGCUGAACAACCACAGGAAAGUACCUGAAACAACGUUUGGUUAUUUACGUAGCGCUGAGCUAAAACCCAAUUCUGUUUAGGGUUAAAAAGCUUUUUGCACCACCCGCAUUUUACAGUUUUUAGGUGGUUUUUUAUUGUAACAAAAGCUAAACUCACAUUUUAAAUAAUCAAAAUUUCACCUUUACAUACUUUUUUCCCCUCCUCUUUGAGCAGGUGUUAAUUAGUUUGACUUUCCCAUUUUCUCAGGCACAAGCAACAGUAACAAAAUCAACUUUUAAAUAAAAAAAAAAAAAAAAUUAAAAAAGGCUGUAACUACUUUUAUAAAUCUCAAUUUUCUUUUCAUCGUGCAUCAAGUGUAAUUUAUAAGGAAAAAGACAGAUUUACCCUAAAACAUUUAUGCAUAAACAUCAAGGAAAUACUUGGCAUUGUAAUAUAGGGUAAAAAAAAUUCUGUUUAAAGAGUAAUAGAUUGUGACUGUGUUUCUUACUAGGAAGCUUUUUGUUUAAUUAUUUCAAAAAUAAAGAUGGCGCAGGAGGACUUCAGCUAACUGUUGUGUUUUAUUUGGACUCAAAAUGGCGUCACAGAUUUGUAGAGGGGGUAAAACUUUUUAAAAACUUGAUUAAAACAAGUUGUGAUCAAACAGAAAAAUCGAAAAGAAGCUAUCUGGUGAACAGGCUUCCCUUCAAACCUUAACUGUCACAUUUCCGCUAACUUAUUAGCGCAGAAACGAAGAGUGGAAAAUACCAGAAAGAACAUGCUGAGUCAUCCGUCGCUAUGGUGAUUCCCGCCUUUUUUAGUGCAGCAGAGAGCAUACAGCAGAAGCCACGGUAGGAAAACUACAAGUCAAACAAAUGAAAAACUAAUAUCCAUGAGCAUCUGAACCUUCUAGUGGCUACUUUUUUAUCUUUUAUUUAUGAGAGGCGGAAAAAAAAAACUUUGAAAAGAGCAUUUUUUUAAAGUAUAUUUUGGGUUUUGACAGAUAAGUCCUACAGCAGUGGGAGGCACACUGGGUGAAAGCAGACGGAAAAACCUACAUUUUGAUGUAAAAACUGUACAUUUGGAGAUGAUGUUUCUGAAUAUUUCACAGGGUCUGAAUCCUUCACGGAAAAUGAAAAGAAAAAAACUUGUAAAACUUCAACUGCAAUUACGUUUAAAAAAGAAAAAAUCCAACUUCCUGUGAAGUCUGUUUUUCUCAGCUCUGUGGGGGGAGCAGUGAUCAGAAAGAAACAUGCAAAUAUACCAACAAGGAAGAAAAAUGUUCUCCGGACAAUUUGUUGCGCUGAAAUGAAGGUAACAACGAAUAAUGUUUGCACUUCUACUUGUAUACUGUAUGCUAGAAUAGAAGUAUGUAGUGUUAAGUUUUCACCCUCACUUUGUUUCAUAAAAGGCAACGUAGAAAAUUACAUUUGUGUGGCUAUUAAUAACUGUUUAUAACAGCGUCUCUUCCCGUUGAAAGCACAACUUCUAAAACCCAUCUGACUCAAAGUACUGUAGUUUAUCUCCAACAUGUUAGAAGAUAAAUAAUCAGUUUUUUUUAAGUUUUAUUCCUUCCAUCAGGACAUGAAAUGUUAAAAACCUAUAAAAAGACAAGUAGUGUUCAGCUCUUUCAGGCUCAAAACACACACAAAUAAAACGUAAUCAUCUAAAGUGUGUCUUAUUUUUUUUCUGAGAGCACUUUUGUUUUUUUUUUUUCCCACAGCAGAUUCUCAAAGAAAACAAGCAAACUGCUGAAAGCCGAUCGAUCUAAACUCAGCGCUCGCAGCAGCAGCGUCCCUCCUCCUCCCCUUCUUAUAGAAAAUAUAACACUAUAUUUUACAAGAAGACUAAACAGGACAUCUAUUUAUCUUACAAAGAACAGCGUACAGACGAGCGCUGUCCAGGUUCUGCAGCUGCUCCUCCAGUUUCUCACACAGCAUCUUCUACAAGAACAACAACCACAAACCAUCAGACAGAAAAAAACAGAUCAAUUCAUCCGAUCUCCUGCGUCCAGCCGUCAGCUCGUGGUCAAAUGAGGGAAAAAGCUGCUAAUGCAAAAACCAAAAACAUGAACCUUAACCAGGACUUAAAAUUUAAGCUCACAUGUUGGCAAGGCGGACAGAACCAUUCUCCAUCUGGGAUCAGCAUGAGCGGCGGCCGCAGACAGGCGGUGUGGUAUCCUCGAUCACACGAGUCACACAGCAGGAUCUGUGCAACAAACACACACACACAUGACGAAAUGCACUGGAAUAACACACACUGAUGAGAAAACGCCACAAAUCCUGCGGAUGGCACCAACAAGAAAGUCUUUAAAAGCAAAUGUUUCCAUUUUUUUGAUUCAGGAGUUUCUGCUCGUGUAAUGUGAAUGGGAAGUCUUAAUCUGUAACAGUGUCUUCACUGUAAAACAUUUCAAGGUGGUUUAACUUGAAAAUAGAAGUUCACCUUUAAAAGGCAAGUCAACUAAAUAUUUUUGUUAACUCAGAAAUUAAAGUUCACCAAGUGGAUUUAGCAACAAGAAAAUGUCUUAAGAUUUUUCUUUAAGUUCUAAAAACUCAUUAAACUUCAUGUGUGAGUUGUUAUAACUUAAUACUGGAAUUUAAACCAAAUAAUUCUCAACAUUAUGGAAGUUAAGAUAGCUAUUUUAAGACAGAAGAUGCUGGACCAUAAAUUGUCCAAGAAGUUUUUUUUAGAUAAAUGAUAAUAUUGUUGUUUUGAGACAAUUUUCAAGUUAUAUAGUAAUAAUAUAAUAAGGCAAGAACACAUUCUCUGUGACCAAUAAACUAUAAUUUAUAACAAAUAUUCAGCUCUG